AUGUGUGUGUGUGAGGUGGAAUGGACCACAGUGAAAGGAAUGGCUCCUAUUUAUAGUGGGGUUAGUAGCUAUGUCGGUUUGGAGAGGCAUUACAUCUGGCAUGCAUGCGUGGUUAGGCUUGCAUGCAUGCCUCCACUUGUGUCUCUUGUAGGCUGUACUAGGGACAAGUGUAAUUUGCUUGACUGGCCAUUAGUUGGCAUUUACUUUAUGUGGAAAAAAAUGAGACCAAGAUCUGAUUAUAAAUUUGUAGAAUACAUGGAGGUUUGGAAAAUAUUUUGUUGUGCAUGGUCAAAUGCUAUUUGCUAUAAUAAAAAUUAA
rnacentral:rRNA from 1 species